AUUAAGUUGCUUAGCAACCUGGAAAUAAUGAAUUCGCCGCCAAAGUCCACACGACAAUUUCUUUCACACACUUUAUCAUGAGUAAAAUGUAUCAGUGUGCUGAAAUCUGCUUGCCAAGAAAGAAGAAAGUCCGCGAGUCUUUCCACUCAAACACAUACAGGAUAUUUGAUGAAAAGAUACCUGACAGAUUGGACCCUGAUAAAGUCUAUAAAGUAAAUUCAUAUGCUCAGAGAGAUCCCAAGGAAUAUGAUCAGCUUAAAAUACACAAUACCCCACAAAUGUACAAUGCCAAGUUCAUAAGAACCAAUGUCAGGUUCAUGAAUGCACCCAUUUCUUACAUGGAGACAGAGAGUACAAUGGCUGAGCAGACUUAUAACAGUGUCACUGGUGGCCCAAUACAUCGUAUCACGAUGUGAGCACCCAGGCACCUUACAGAAAGGACAGCACUCAGAGACAAGACUACCAGGCCAUUCAACAAACACACGCCCUGGUCAGACAUGGGAGGAACAACAACAGAGUGCCUGCUUCAGGAAUCGUUCCCAUGCUGAGCUCUAUUGGUAGCCCAAAAGUGUUGCUCGAGCACAUGUCUUUUAUUCACCAAUAUGAUUCAAGGAAAUUACAGGACCAACCAUACCAAGGAAGGCGACAUGGAGCUUUAGUGUGGAGCGAGGCUGGGCCAUGGUCUCCUGUCGGGGAGAGCACAUACCUCAACUCCGAGGGGUCAUGUUUGCCAGCGGUGCGGGGAGGAAGAGGGGGGAAAGAGGUAACCUCUCCCCAGCAGCAAGUUUUCAAUGACGGCAGGAUCCACUCCGGAAAGGCGGGCCCCAGCGCUAAAGGCACCAAGGCCAUCGCCUGCCACUCACCGACCCAUCCCUCCAGCCAGCUGUUUCACAGCUUCUAUACUCCCAUGACACAUAGGGGAGGGGUUGAGGGAGGGUUUGAGGGGAUCUCCUCAGUCUCUGACAGGGCUGCGGAGGGUCGGAGAGCUAUGCAUGCGGACGGCGAGGGGACUGUCUUGCAAAGGCAGGGAUCCAACAGUCAACAGGUGGAGGUUCAAGGCCCAGCCCAAAUUGCAGGCUCAGAGCCUAACAACUGAUGGCACUGAUGGCAUUUUAACACUUUAGGGGCUGCCUUAUGUAAAGAUCUGAGUAGAAAUCGGUUGCAAUUGUGUUACAUUUUUGGUCAAAAGUAAGAUAAAGAUUAAAAUAAUAAAAGGUUCAACCUGCAAAAGUAACUGCUGUUAAAUGGUAUUUUCAAUUAAUGAAAAAUAGUGUAUAUGGUAUGUACAACUGUCAUACCCAAUUCUAACCCCAAAUCAGGAGCCCUAAGCAAGAUUUGGUUGACCCCCCCUCCCCACCUUGCAGCAAAACAUUUUUUGUUGCUCCCCUCUUGAUGGCUGAGAACUUUUUUUAAAGCAAAUUUCCUGCAAUCCUAUACAUUUUGCCAUGGGGCGUAGAUGAAAUGUUGCAGUUUUAAAGCAAGUUUUCUGCAAUUUUACACAUUGUACCAUGGGGUGGAGAGACAUUCUUGCUGUUUUAAACCUAAUUUCCUGCAAUUCUACACAUUUUGCCAUGACUUAUGCCAUGUUAAUAUGAUAUUUGAGUGAGAAUGUCUAAUAAAAUCAAUGGGGCCCCACUGGAAAUCAGAGCCCUGGGCACGUGCCCUGCAUGCCCUGUCAGUAUUCAGCUAUGAUUACUAUAAGUUUAGAUAGCUGGCUAGACUUAACUACCAAUUUUGUUUGUUUGUUGCUGAUAUGGCAAAUUGAGUGAUUGUCAGUGACUGACAUAACAAGAGAAAAGCUUCCAAAAGAUGCACAACCAAAUUUCAAAAUGGCACCUAGUGUAUUCUACUAUAUACUGUUCCUAAAAAAAUUGGAACUCAAAAAUGUUGGGUUGAGGGCCCCCUAGUGGCUAGUGGCCUGAGCCGGCACUAUCCAAAAUAUAAGGUUGUUUUACUUAAGAAUGUUUGGCUGAAAAACGAUUUAAAAUUGUGACUAUUGUGGCUAUAGAUUGUGACUGAUGUACUGGAGUGUUAACAUGAACAGACUAUAUUUAUAACGUUUAGCAAAUUAAAUAUACUUUGCCAGCACACAAUUUUUGAAAAAAAAGCAUGUUGAAACCAUAGAAUACAGUUUUUGUGAGCUAUCUAAUCGCUUUUCAUAGUCCUUAUGAUGAAGCCCACACCAGUUUUCUGCAUUUAGAUAGAAUAGUGGAUCUGCGUCAGGUGAUGGAUCUAUAUCAGGUUUCAGUACAACUGUGUAGAAUAAAAGAAUAGAGGAAUAGUUAUUUUAUUGUAUAUUUGUUCUCCAAGUGCUUUGCUCAAGUACCUUGCUCAAGGGCACAACGUUAGUGGUUUGUACCUGGGAUUAGAGAUCAGCAGCCCCCCAGCUACAAGAUCAGUUCCCAGUUCCCAUUUCUAUUGAUGCUCAUCUUUACCCUAAAGUGCAGUGCCUUCAGAAAGUAUUCACACCCCUUUACCCUUUCCACAUGUUGUUGUGUUACAGCCUGAAUAAAAACUUGGAUUCAAUUGAGAUUUCACUGAUCUACACAUAAUACCCCAUAAUGGCAAAGGGGAAUUUAUAUAUUUUCUAAACUAAUAAAAAAAUAUAUACCUGAAAUAAGUAGUCAGCCCCUUUGUCAUGACAAGCCUAAAUAAGGUCAGUAGUGCUUAACAAAUUGCAUAAUAAGUUGCAUGGACUCAUUCCAUGUUCAUAUUUGUACCCCACACAUACAAUUAUCUGUAAGGUCCCUCAAUUUUCAAUGCCUCACAAAGAAAGACACCAAUUGGUAGAUGUGUAAAAAUAGAAAAAGCAGAUGCUGAACAUCCCUUUGAGCAUGGUGAAGUUAUGAAUUACACUUUGGAUGGUGUACAGGCGUGCAUCCUAACUCAGUUGCCGGAGAGGAAAGAAACCGCUCAGGGAUAUUAAAACAGUUACAGAGUUUAACGGUUGUGAAAUUAGAAAACUGAGGAUGGAUUAACAACGAAGUUACUCCACAAUGCUAAUCUAAAUGACAGAGUGAAAAGAAGGAAGCUUGUAAAAAAUAAAUAUAUUCCAAAACAUGCAUCCUGUUUGCAACAAGGCACUUAAGUAAUACUGCAAAAUACUGUAUGUGGCAUUGAAAUACACUUCUCACUGCCUUCCUGAAGACAAACAAUGAAUACAAAAUGCUUCAGUCUGGUUUUAGACCCCAUCAUAGCACUGAGACUGCACUUGUGAAGGUGGUAAAUUACCUUUAAAUGGCAUCAGACCGAGGCUUUGCAUCUGUCCUCGUGCUCCUAGACCUUAGUGCUGCUUUUGAUACCAUCGAUCACCGCAUUCUUUUGGAGAGAUUGGAAACCCAAAUUGGUCUACACGGACAAGUUCUGGCCUUGUUUAGAUCUUAUCUGUCGGAAGGAUAUCAGUUUGUCUCUGUGAAUGGUUUGUCCUCUGACAAAUCAACUGUAAAUUUCGGUGUUCCUCAAGGUUCCGUUUUAGGACCACUAUUGUUUUAACUAUAUAUUUUACCUCUUGGGGAUGUCAUUCGAAAACACAAUGUUAACUUUCACUGCUAUGCGGAUGACACACAGCUGUACAUUUCAAUGAAACAUGGUGAAGCCCCAAAAGCCUGUGUUUCAGACAUAAGGAAGUGGAUGGCUGCAAACUUUCUACUUUUAAACUCGGACAAAACAGAGAUGCUUGUUCUAGGUCCCAAGAAACAAAGAGAUCUUCUGUUGAAUCUGACAAUUAAUCUUAAUGGUUGUACAGUCGUCUCAAAUAAAACUGUGAAGGACCUCGGCGUUACUCUGGACCCUGAUCUCUCUUUUGACGAACAUAUCAAGAUUGUUUCAAGGACAG